CCCCAGCAGCACCAUGCCACCCACCCCGAGUAUCCCCUGGGCACCCUGGCAUAGCCAGAUGACUUCCGUGCCCCUGUUGCAAUAACCACUGCUUCCAAGUCUCUGUAGACCACCCCUUGGGUAUAUCUCAUGUUACCAUGCCAGCAAUGAUUCCUUUUGAGUUUCUGACAGAAGAUAGUGGUUUUCAUCCAAAUAAGUCAACUACUCUACCCCAUCCCUAAGCCACUUGUAUGGAAAGAAAAAGAGGAAGAAGCCAGUACUGUGACUGCGUAAGCUUCCCCCAGCAUCACCGGCUAUGAGAUGUGUGGCAGCUGAGACCCGGGAACUGCUCAAGGGCACCAGGCCCCAUCUGUCUGCACUCACUCACCUUCCUCAGGUACUCGCAUGGGCAUGUCACUGACUUUACAUGCUGCUGCAGCUCCUUGGUGAGCUGGCCCUGGUCAUGGGACAGGAACUGUGGGGUCAGGACAAUAGAGAGCUUCACCAUUUGCAGAAUGAGAACAGGGGCUCAUGAUGAGUGCCAACCUAU